rnacentral:rRNA from 1 species
CACGCCGUAAACGAUGAGUGCUAAGUAUCGGGGGAUUUCGGUGCUUAAGCUAACGCAGUAAGCACUCCGCCUGGGGAGUACGGUCGCAAGACUGAAACUCAAAGGAAUUGACGGGGACUCGCACAAGCGGUGGAGCAUGCGGUUUAAUUCGAUGCAACGCGAAGAACCUUACCAGGUCUUGACAGUGUAAAGAAUACUUAAGAGAUUAAGGGCUACGAAUUAAGCUUGCUUGAUUUACUUUAUAAACAGGUGG